rnacentral:rRNA from 1 species
UACGGGGGGGUGCGAGCGUUGUCCGGAAUCACUGGGCGUAAAGGGCGCGUAGGUGGUUUGAUAAGGGUGUGGUGAAAGCCCGGGGCUCAACCCCGGGUCUGCCGUGCCGACUGUCAAACUCGAGGGCUGUAGAGGCAGACGGAAUUCCGGGUGUAGCGGUGGAAUGCGUAGAGAUCCGGAAGAACACCGGUGGCGAAGGCGGUCUGCUGGGCAGUUGCUGACACUGAGGCGCGGACAGCGUGGGGAGCAAACAGG